GACGAACGCUGGCGGCGUGCUUAACACAUGCAAGUCGAACGGGAAGACAUGAAGAGCUUGCUCUUUAUGAAAUCCAGUGGCAAACGGGUGAGUAACACGUAAACAACCUGCCUUCAGGAUGGGGACAACAGACGGAAACGACUGCUAAUACCGAAUACGAUUCUUGAGUCGCAUGACACAAGAAAGAAAGGGUGGCCUCUACAAGUAAGCUAUCGCCUGAAGAGGGGUUUGCGUCCGAUUAGGUAGUUGGUGAGGUAACGGCCCACCAAGCCGACGAUCGGUAGCCGGUCUGAGAGGAUGAACGGCCACAUUGGAACUGAGACACGGUCCAGACUCCUACGGGAGGCAGCAGUGGGGGAUCUUCCGCAAUGGGCGAAAGCCUGACGGAGCAACGCCGCGUGAGUGAAGACGGCCUUCGGGUUGUAAAACUCUGUGAUUCGGGACGAAAGAUAAGCAGACGAAUAAUCUGCAUAAGUGACGGUACCGAAAAAGCAAGCCACGGCUAACUACGUGCCAGCAGCCGCGGUAAUACGUAGGUGGCAAGCGUUGUCCGGAAUUAUUGGGCGUAAAGCGCGCGCAGGCGGCUACUUAAGUCCAUCUUAAAAGUGCGGGGCUUAACCCCGUGAUGGGAUGGAAACUGAGAAGCUGGAGUGUCGGAGAGGAAAGUGGAAUUCCUAGUGUAGCGGUGAAAUGCGUAGAGAUUAGGAAGAACACCGGUGGCGAAGGCGACUUUCUGGACGACAACUGACGCUUAGGCGCGAAAGCGUGGGGAGCGAACAGG
rnacentral:rRNA from 1 species